GUGGGAUGUUGGGUCUUCAUUUCAUUCUGAUAAUGAGCCGGCCCCUCCAAUGCCUGAUCCUCCUCGCAAAAUCUAAAACGAACCAACAGCGACCACAAAUGAUACUGCCAGACCGUAAGUCAUCCUUUCAUCAUCCUUUUACUCUACUAAUGAUUCAUGUAUGUCACGGUGUGGUGAGCAAGGAGUUAUAGGCUGUGCUAGUGAGGAUCUGGUAUGUGUAAUGAUAGGAAGUAUGGGGUGAUGUGAUGAGGAACAGGUGUGUGUAAUGAUGGGAAGUAUGGGGUGAUGUGAUGAGGAACAGGUGUGUGUAAUGAUGGGAAGUAUGGGGUGAUGUGAUGAGGAACUGGUGUGUGUAAUGAUAGGAAGUAUGGGGUGAUGUGAUGA
ensembl:lncRNA